rnacentral:rRNA from 1 species
CCUACGGGUGGCAGCAGUCGAGAAUCAUUCACAAUGGGGGAAACCCUGAUGGUGCGACGCCGCGUGGGGGAAUGAAGGUCUUCGGAUUGUAAACCCCUGUCAUGUGGGAGCAAAUUAAAAAGAUAGUACCACAAGAGGACGAGACGGCUAACUCUGUGCCAGCAGCCGCGGUAAUACAGAGGUCUCAAGCGUUGUUCGGAAUCACUGGGCGUAAGGCGUGCGUAGGCUGUUUCGUAAGUCGUGUGUGAAAGGCGCGGGCUCAACCCGCGGACGGCACAUGAUACUGCGAGACUAGAGUAAUGGAGGGGGAACCGGAAUUCUCGGUGUAGCAGUGAAAUGCGUAGAUAUCGAGAGGAACACUCGUGGCGAAGGCGGGUUCCUGGACAUUAACUGACGCUGAGGCACGAAGGCCAGGGGAGCGAAAGGGAUUAGAUACCCGAGUAGUC